UCUGCCUGGUAGUGGGGGACGAACGUUUCGAAAGGAACGCUAAUACCGCAUACGUCCUACGGGAGAAAGCAGGGACCUUCGGGCCUUGCGCAUCAGAUGAGCCUAGGUCGGAUUAGCUAGUUGGUGAGGUAAUGGCUCACCAAGGCGACGAUCCGUAACUGGUCUGAGAGGAUGAUCAGUCACACUGGAACUGAGACACGGUCCAGACUCCUACGGGAGGCAGCAGA
rnacentral:rRNA from 1 species